rnacentral:rRNA from 1 species
GUGGGUAAUCUUCCGCAAUGGACGAAAGUCUGACGGAGCAACGCCGCGUGAGUGAAGAAGGUUUUCGGAUCGUAAAGCUCUUUCGUUAGGGACGAACGUGCUCUUUGUGAAUAAUGAGGAGUAAUGACGGUACCUAAAUAAGAAGCCACGGCUAACUACGUGCCAGCAGCCGCGGUAAUACGGAGGUGGCAAGCGUUGUCCGGAAUUAUUGGGCGUAAAGCGCGCGCAGGCGGGAUAUCAAGUCUGUCUUAAAAGUGCGAGGCUCAACCUCGUGAGGGGACAGAAAGUUGUAUUGUUGAGUGUCGGAGAGGAAAGUGGAAUUCCAAGUGUAGCGGUGAAAUGCGUAGAGAUUUGGAAGAACACCAGUGGCGAAGGCGACUUUCUGGACGAUGUCUGACGCUGAGGCGCGAAAGCUAGGGGAGCGAACGGGAUUAGAUACCCUUGUAGUCC